UGAGGGAGCUUGCUCCUGGAUUAGUGGCGAACGGGUGAGUAACACGUGAGUAACCUGCCCUUAACUCUGGGAUAAGCCUGGGAAACUGGGUCUAAUACCGGAUAUGACUCCUCAUCGCAUGGUGGGGGGUGGAAAGCUUUUUGUGGUUUUGGAUGGACUCGCGGCCUAUCAGCUUGUUGGUGAGGUAAUGGCUUACCAAGGCGACGACGGGUAGCCGGCCUGAGAGGGUGACCGGCCACACUGGGACUGAGACACGGCCCAGACUCCUACGGGAGGCAGCAGUGGGGAAUAUUGCACAAUGGGCGCAAGCCUGAUGCAGCGACGCCGCGUGAGGGAUGACGGCCUUCGGGUUGUAAACCUCUUUCAGUAGGGAAGAAGCGAAAGUGACGGUACCUGCAGAAGAAGCGCCGGCUAACUACGUGCCAGCAGCCGCCGGUAAUACGUAGGGCGCAGGCUUAUCCGGAAUUAUU
rnacentral:rRNA from 1 species